CAGGUGUAGCGGUGAAAUGCGUAGAGAUCUGGAGGAAUACCGGUGGCGAAGGCGGCCCCCUGGACAAAGACUGACGCUCAGGUGCGAAAGCGUGGGGAGCAAACAGGAUUAGAUACCCUGGUAGUCCACGCCGUAAACGAUGUCGAUUUGGAGGUUGUGCCCUUGAGGCGUGGCUUCCGGAGCUAACGCGUUAAAUCGACCGCCUGGGGAGUACGGCCGCAAGGUUAAAACUCAAAUGAAUUGACGGGGGCCCGCACAAGCGGUGGAGCAUGUGGUUUAAUUCGAUGCAACGCGAAGAACCUUACCUGGUCUUGACAUCCACAGAACUUUCCAGAGAUGGAUUGGUGCCUUCGGGAACUGUGAGACAGGUGCUGCAUGGCUGUCGUCAGCUCGUGUUGUGAAAUGUUGGGUUAAGUCCCGCAACGAGCGCAACCC
rnacentral:rRNA from 1 species